rnacentral:rRNA from 1 species
UACGUAGGGCGCAAGCGUUGUCCGGAAUUAUUGGGCGUAAAGAGCUCGUAGGCGGUCUGUCGCGUCGGAUGUGAAAGCCCGGGGCUUAACCCCGGGUCUGCAUUCGAUACGGGCAGACUAGAGUGUGGUAGGGGAGAUCGGAAUUCCUGGUGUAGCGGUGAAAUGCGUAGAUAUCGGGAGGAACACCAGUGGCGAAGGCGGCUACCUGGCACAUAACUGACGCUGAUACGCGAAAGCGUGGGGAGCGAACCGG